GUGCACGCUGGCGGUCGGCCUAACACAUGCCAGUCGAACGGCAGCACAGUAAGAGCUUGCUCUUACGGGUGGCGAGUGGCGGACGGGUGAGGAAUACAUCGGAAUCUACUUUUUCGUGGGGGAUAACGUAGGGAAACUUACGCUAAUACCGCAUACGACCUACGGGUGAAAGCAGGGGAUCUUCGGACCUUGCGCGAUUGAAUGAGCCGAUGUCGGAUUAGCUAGUUGGCGGGGUAAAGGCCCACCAAGGCGACGAUCCGUAGCUGGUCUGAGAGGAUGAUCAGCCACACUGGAACUGAGACACGGUCCAGACUCCUACGGGAGGCAGCAGUGGGGAAUAUUGGACAAUGGGCGCAAGCCUGAUCCAGCCAUACCGCGUGGGUGAAGAAGGCCUUCGGGUUGUAAAGCCCUUUUGUUGGGAAAGAAAAGCAGCAGGUUAAUACCCCGCUGUUCUGACGGUACCCAAAGAAUAAGCACCGGCUAACUUCGU
rnacentral:rRNA from 1 species